rnacentral:rRNA from 1 species
AGUGAACGCUGGCGGUAGGCCUAACACAUGCCAGUCGAACGGCAGCACAGUAAGAGCUUGCUCUUACGGGUGGCGAGUGGCGGACGGGUGAGGAAUACAUCGGAAUCUACUUUUUCGUGGGGGAUAACGUAGGGAAACUCACGCUAAUACCGCAUACGACCUACGGGUGAAAGCAGGGGAUCUUCGGACCUUGCGCGAUUGAAUGAGCCGAUGUCGGAUUAGCUAGUUGGCGGGGUAAAGGCCCACCAAGGCGACGAUCCGUAGCUGGUCUGAGAGGAUGAUCAGCCACACUGGAACUGAGACACGGUCCAGACUCCUACGGGAGGCAGCAGUGGGGAAUAUUGGACAAUGGGCGCAAGCCUGAUCCAGCCAUACCGCGUGGGUGAAGAAGGCCUUCGGGUUGUAAAGCCCUUUUGUUGGGAAAGAAAAGCAGCAGGUUAAUACCCCGCUGUUCUGACGGUACCCAAAGAAUAAGCACCGGCUAACUUCGUG